rnacentral:rRNA from 1 species
ACGCUCGACACCUACGGGAGCAGCAGUAGGGAAUCUUCCACAAUGGGCGCAAGCCUGAUGGAGCAACACCGCGUGAGUGAAGAAGGGUUUCGGCUCGUAAAGCUCUGUUGUUGGAGAAGAACGUGCGUGAGAGUAACUGUUCACGCAGUGACGGUAUCCAACCAGAAAGUCACGGCUAACUACGUGCCAACAGCCGCGGUAAUCUGAGCGGGCUGGCAAGGC